UGGGGAAUUUUGGACAAUGGGGGAAACCCUGAUCCAGCCAUCCCGCGUGUGCGAUGAAGGCCUUCGGGUUGUAAAGCACUUUUGGCAGGAAAGAAACGUCAUGGGUUAAUACCCCGUGAAACUGACGGUACCUGCAGAAUAAGCACCGGCUAACUACGUGCCAGCAGCCGCGGUAAUACGUAGGGUGCAAGCGUUAAUCGGAAUUACUGGGCGUAAAGCGUGCGCAGGCGGUUCGGAAAGAAAGAUGUGAAAUCCCAGAGCUCAACUUUGGAACUGCAUUAUUAACUACCGGGCUAGAGUGUGUCAGAGGGAGGUGGAAUUCCGCGUGAAGCAGUGAAAUGCGUAGGUAUGCGGAGGAACACCGAUGGCGAAGGCAGCCGCCUGGGAUAACACUGACGCUCAUGCACGAAAGCGUGGGGAGCAAACAGG
rnacentral:rRNA from 1 species